rnacentral:rRNA from 1 species
UACGUAGGGUGCAGGCGUUAAUCGGAAUUACUGGGCGUAAAGCGUGCGCAGGCGGUUUCUUAAGUCAGAUGUGAAAGCCCCGGGCUCAACCUGGGAAUGGCAUUGGAAACUGGCGGGCUUGAGUGUGGCAGAGGGGGGUGGAAUUCCGCGUGUAGCAGUGAAAUGCGUAGAGAUGCGGAGGAACACCGAUGGCGAAGGCAGCCCCCUGGGCUGACACUGACGCUCAGGCACGAAAGCGUGGGGAGCAAACAGG